UACGUAGGGUGCAAGCGUUGUUCGGAAUUACUGGGCGUAAAGGGCUCGUAGGCGGCCAACUAAGUCAGGCGUGAAAGCCCCGGGCUUAACCUGGGAACUGCGUUUGAUACGGAUGGGCUAGAGUUCGGGAGAGGAGAGUGGAAUUCCCAGUGUAGAGGUGAAAUUCGUAGAUAUUGGGAAGAACACCGGUGGCGAAGGCGGCUCUCUGGACCGAGACUGACGCUGAGGCGCGAAAGCGUGGGGAGCAAACAGG
rnacentral:rRNA from 1 species